rnacentral:rRNA from 1 species
GGAAUAUUGCGCAAUGGGGGAAACCCUGACGCAGCAACGCCGCGUGAGUGAAGAAGUAUCUCGGUAUGUAAAGCUCUGUCAGCAGGGAAGAAAGAAAUGACGGUACCUGACCAAGAAGUCCCGGCUAACUACGUGCCAGCAGCCGCGGUAAUACGUAGGGGGCAAGCGUUAUCCGGAAUUACUGGGUGUAAAGGGAGCGUAGACGGUUAAGUAAGUCUGGAGUGAAAGGCCGGGGCCCAACCCCGGGACUGCUCUGGAAACUAUUCAACUUGAGUGCAGGAGAGGUAAGCGGAAUUCCUAGUGUAGCGGUGAAAUGCGUAGAUAUUAGGAGGAACACCAGUGGCGAAGGCGGCUUACUGGACUGUAACUGACGUUGAGGCUCGAAAGCGUGGGGAGCAAA